rnacentral:rRNA from 1 species
CCGCACAAGCGGUGGAGCAUGUGGUUUAAUUCGAUGCAACGCGAAGAACCUUACCUACUCUUGACAUCCAGAGAACUUAGCAGAGAUGCUUUGGUGCCUUCGGGAACUCUGAGACAGGUGCUGCAUGGCUGUCGUCAGCUCGUGUUGUGAAAUGUUGGGUUAAGUCCCGCAACGAGCGCAACCCUUAUCCUUUGUUGCCAGCGGUCAGGCCGGGAACUCAAAGGAGACUGCCAGUGAUAAACUGGAGGAAGGUGGGGAUGACGUCAAGUCAUCAUGGCCCUUACGAGUAGGGCUACACACGUGCUACAAUGGCGCAUACAAAGAGAAGCGACCUCGCGAGAGCAAGCGGACCUCAUAAAGUGCGUCGUAGUCCGGAUUGGAGUCUGCAACUCGACUCCAUGAAGUCGGAAUCGCUAGUAAUCGUGGAUCAGAAUGCCACGGUGAAUACGUUCCCGGGCCUUGUACACACCGCCCGUCACACCAUGGGAGUGGGUUGCAAAAGAAGUAGGUAGCUUAACCUUCGGGAGGGCGCUUACCACUUUGUGAUUCAUGACUGGGG